CAGUCGAGCGAUGGAUUGAGAGCUUGCUCUCAAGAAGUUAGCGGCGGACGGGUGAGUAACACGUGGGUAACCUGCCCAUAAGACUGGGAUAACUCCGGGAAACCGGGGCUAAUACCGGAUAACAUUUUGAACCGCAUGGUUCGAAAUUGAAAGGCGGCUUCGGCUGUCACUUAUGGAUGGACCCGCGUCGCAUUAGCUAGUUGGUGAGGUAACGGCUCACCAAGGCAACGAUGCGUAGCCGACCUGAGAGGGUGAUCGGCCACACUGGGACUGAGACACGGCCCAGACUCCUACGGGAGGCAGCAGUAGGGAAUCUUCCGCAAUGGACGAAAGUCUGACGGAGCAACGCCGCGUGAGUGAUGAAGGCUUUCGGGUCGUAAAACUCUGUUGUUAGGGAAGAACAAGUGCUAGUUGAAUAAGCUGGCACCUUGACGGUACCUAACCAGAAAGCCACGGCUAACUACGUGCCAGCAGC
rnacentral:rRNA from 1 species